GACGGGUGAGUAACACGUGGGUAACCUGCCUGUAAGACUGGGAUAACUCCGGGAAACCGGGGCUAAUACCGGAUGGUUGUUUGAACCGCAUGGUUCAAACAUAAAAGGUGGCUUCGGCUACCACUUACAGAUGGACCCGCGGCGCAUUAGCUAGUUGGUGAGGUAACGGCUCACCAAGGCAACGAUGCGUAGCCGACCUGAGAGGGUGAUCGGCCACACUGGGACUGAGACACGGCCCAGACUCCUACGGGAGGCAGCAGUAGGGAAUCUUCCGCAAUGGACGAAAGUCUGACGGAGCAACGCCGCGUGAGUGAUGAAGGUUUUCGGAUCGUAAAGCUCUGUUGUUAGGGAAGAACAAGUACCGUUCGAAUAGGGCGGUACCUUGACGGUACCUAACCAGAAAGCCACGGCUAACUACGUGCCAGCAGCCGCGGUAAUACGUAGGUGGCAAGCGUUGUCCGGAAUUAUUGGGCGUAAAGGGCUCGCAGGCGGUUUCUUAAGUCUGAUGUGAAAGCCCCCGGCUCAACCGGGGAGGGUCAUUGGAAACUGGGGAACUUGAGUGCAGAAGAGGAGAGUGGAAUUCCACGUGUAGCGGUGAAAUGCGUAGAGAUGUGGAGGAACACCAGUGGCGAAGGCGACUCUCUGGUCUGUAACUGACGCUGAGGAGCGAAAGCGUGGGGAGCGAACAGGAUUAGAUACCCUGGUAGUCCACGCCGUAAACGAUGAGUGCUAAGUGUUAGGGGGUUUCCGCCCCUUAGUGCUGCAGCUAACGCAUUAAGCACUCCGCCUGGGGAGUACGGUCGCAAGACUGAAACUCAAGGGAAUUGACGGGGGCCCGCACAAGCGGUGGAGCAUGUGGUUUAAUUCGAAGCAACGCGAAGAACCUUACCAGGUCUUGACAUCCUCUGACAAUCCUAGAGAUAGGACGUCCCCUUCGGGGGCAGAGUGACAGGUGGUGCAUGGUUGUCGUCAGCUCGUGUCGUGAGAUGUUGGGUUAAGUCCCGCAACGAGCGCAACCCUUGAUCUUAGUUGCCAGCAUUCAGUUGGGCACUCUAAGGUGACUGCCGGUGACAAACCGGAGGAAGGUGGGGAUGACGUCAAAUCAUCAUGCCCCUUAUGACCUGGGCUACACACGUGCUACAAUGGACAGAACAAAGGGCAGCGAAACCGCGAGGUUAAGCCAAU
rnacentral:rRNA from 1 species